rnacentral:rRNA from 1 species
GAUGAACGCUGGCGGCGUGCCUAAUACAUGCAAGUCGAGCGAACAGACGAGGAGCUUGCUCCUCUGACGUUAGCGGCGGACGGGUGAGUAACACGUGGAUAACCUACCUAUAAGACUGGGAUAACUUCGGGAAACCGGAGCUAAUACCGGAUAAUAUAUUGAACCGCAUGGUUCAAUAGUGAAAGACGGUUUUGCUGUCACUUAUAGAUGGAUCCGCGCCGCAUUAGCUAGUUGGUAAGGUAACGGCUUACCAAGGCAACGAUGCGUAGCCGACCUGAGAGGGUGAUCGGCCACACUGGAACUGAGACACGGUCCAGACUCCUACGGGAGGCAGCAGUAGGGAAUCUUCCGCAAUGGGCGAAAGCCUGACGGAGCAACGCCGCGUGAGUGAUGAAGGUCUUCGGAUCGUAAAACCCUGUUAUUAGGGAAGAACAAAUGUGUAAGUAACUAUGCACGUCUUGACGGUACCUAACAAGAAAGCCACGGCUAACUACGU